rnacentral:rRNA from 1 species
AUAUCAAUAAGCGGAGGAAAAGAAACUAACAAGGAUUCCCCUAGUAACGGCGAGUGAACCGGGAAGAGCUCAAAUUUGAAAUCUGGCGUCCUCAGGGCGUCCGAGUUGUAAUCUAUAGAGGCGUUUUCCGUGCCGGACCGUGUCCAAGUUCCUUGGAACAGGAUAUCAAAGAGGGUGACAAUCCCGUACUUGACACGACGACCGGUGCUCUGUGAUACGUCUUCUACGAGUCGAGUUGUUUGGGAAUGCAGCUCAAAAUGGGUGGUGAGUUCCAUCUAAAGCUAAAUAUUGGCGAGAGACCGAUAGCGAACAAGUACCGUGAGGGAAAGAUGAAAAGCACUUUGGAAAGAGAGUUAAACAGUACGUGAAAUUGUUGAAAGGGAAACGAUUGAAGUCAGUCGUGACCGAGAGGCUCAGCCGGUUCUGCCGGUGUAUUCCCCUCGGUCGGGUCAACAUCAGUUUUGUCCGGUGGAUAAGGGCGGUAGGAAGGUGGCACCCUCGGGUGUGUUAUAGCCUAUCGUCGCAUACAUCGGGUGAGACUGAGGAACGCAGCUCGCCUUUAUGGCCGGGGUUCGCCCACGUCCGAGCUUAGGAUGUUGACAUAAUGGCUUUAAACGACCCGUCUUGAAACACGGACCAAGGAGUCUAACAUAUCUGCG